AAGACCUUACUUCAUAGGAUCAUUUCUAUAGUAAGCUCUUCAAGCGAGUUUCACACUACGUGAGAUUCUGUUAGCCGCGACGAUGAGAUGUGGCGCGGCGCCCUGAGCGUGAGGUAGGCGAUGGUGGCUCACCAUCAGCCCUCGAUGAUCGUUCGCUCCCUCAUGCGAGUGGGGGAGAGUGGGGCGCUGUCGCUUUCUGAGCGGU